rnacentral:rRNA from 1 species
AACGAACGCUGGCGGCAUGCCUAACACAUGCAAGUCGAACGAGACCUUCGGGUCUAGUGGCGCACGGGUGCGUAACGCGUGGGAACCUGCCCUUAGGUUCGGAAUAACUCCCCGAAAGGGGUGCUAAUACCGGAUAAUGUCUUCGGACCAAAGAUUUAUCGCCUUUGGAUGGGCCCGCGUUGGAUUAGCUAGUUGGUAGGGUAAAAGCCUACCAAGGCGACGAUCCAUAGCUGGUCUGAGAGGAUGAUCAGCCACACUGGGACUGAGACACGGCCCAGACUCCUACGGGAGGCAGCAGUGGGGAAUAUUGGACGAGGGGCGAAAGCCUGAUCCAGCAAUGCCGCGUGAGUGAUGAAGGCCGUAGGGUUGUAAAGCUCUUUUAGCCGGGAUGAUAAUGACAGUACCGGGAGAAUAAGCUCCGGCUAACUCCGUG